rnacentral:rRNA from 1 species
UACGUAGGCAGCAAACGUUGUUCGGAGUUACUGGGCGUAAAGAGUGCGUAGGCGGUUUGCCAAGUCUGGUGUGAAAUCUCCUGGCUUAACUGGGAGGGUGCGCCGGAUACUGGCAGGCUUGAGUGUGGGAGAGGAAAGCAGAAUUCCUGGUGUAGCGGUGAAAUGCGUAGAUAUCAGGAGGAAUACCUGUGGUGAAGACGGCUUUCUGGACCACAACUGACGCUGAGGCACGAAAGCGUGGGGAGCAAACAGG